CUCCUCCUGCCCCACAAAAUGUUUAAAGGUAGCUUGACUCUUUGUUCAGGGCUCAGUCCUUUGGAUGUUAAUCUGACUGGGUCGGUGCACCUAAAUAAUUUAAUAAUUCCUCCUCAACCACUUGGUCACUCUGAUUCCUUAAUCAUCCAGCAGCAUUUCUAGUGGCUCAGAUGGGGAUUGGAGAUGACAGAUUUACUGUCUCCUUUGCCUGCAGGACUAGAGCCCUGGGGCCAGGGUAGACCUAGCAUCCACGGUGCACCACAGGGGAGCUUCAUCUGGACGGGGACCAGCUCUUCCUGCAUCCUGGUGCUCUGCCUGGCAGUGCAAUGGAACCAGGGAUGGAGCUGCAGGAUGAUACCAGAACUUCAGGAACUGCGUUGCAGGUGUCACACCUUGGAUUCACCAUAGCUGGCUGAAAGCAGCGGCAGCAGUGACUCCAAUGACAACCAGCGGAUUAGCCAACAAGACCUAGAUCACCCCACCUGAAUGGUCCUACAAUGAAAUCCAACCACUGGUUAUUUGCUGAGACCAGCUCGAUCAUGGAGACCCCAUCCCAGCCCGCGCUAGAGGAAUUGAAGAUACAGACACAGAAAUAUAAGAAUCAGGAGGCUAACAGCCUUCAGAGCUGAGAGCCACAAACGGAGUUUGACCCAUAUAUUUAUUUACAGCAAGACAAUGGUUUGUUGCAGUAUGCUGGGCGUCCACUCUAAACCCUGUUCUUCUAUGACCAGUGGAAGAUGCAGAACAGCAAAGACUGCUGCCUGUUCCUUUUUCAGGAAGCUUCAUCCCAGGGAGGCACUGAUUUGAUACCACUGGGAGCUCUCCUGUAUUAGUGAGAUGAACCUGGUACCUCAGAUGGAAAUGCAGAAAUCACCCGUCUUCUGCGUCGCUCACGCUGGGAGCUGUAGACCGGAGCUGUUUCUCUUUGGCCAUAUUGGCUCCUCCCAAAAUAUCCACUUUUCAACAAAACAGAUGAAGAAUGCAAACAGACAAGAAAGCACAUUCAUUCACAGGAAAAGAAGUUAACAAAAACUGUUUUUGGGGAACCAAAAUGUUGGGUUUAGACAAACUUUAAAUCAACUGUUCUAUAUGCUUAAACAAUUAAUGGAAAUUGAAGACAAAGAACUAAAGAUAAUCAAGAAAAAUAUAUAAGAAUAGAAAUGUAGGUAAGAGGUAAUUAUUUUAAAAGAUUACAAAUAGUAAUUUUAGAGUUGAAAAUACAUUAUGUGAAAUAAAAAAUCCACUAGGGAGGUUCAGAAGCAUAUUGAAGCUAAAAAAAAAAAAAAAAAAAGGAGUCUGGGUACGGUGGCUCAUGCCGGUAAUCCUAGCACUUUGGGAGGUAGAGAAAGGCACAUCAUGAUGUCAAGAGUUUGAGACCAUCCUGGCCAACAUGGUGAAACCAUGUCUGUACUACAAUACAAAAAAUUAGCCAGGUGUGGUGGUGCACACCUGUAGUCCCAGCUACUCAGGAGGCUGAGGCAGGGGAAUCGCUUGAACCCAGGAGGUGGAGGUUGGAGUGAGCUGAGAUCAUGCCACUGCACUUCAGCCUGGCAACAGAGCAAGACUCUGCCUCAAGAAAAAAGAAAAAGAAAAAAAAAAUAAGAAUAAGUGAUCUUGCAGAUAAGUACAUUGUAAUCCUCUAGUCUGAGUAGAAAAGAAAAAGAAUUAAAAAAAAAAUCAUACUCUUAGAGACUUGUGGGACAUGACCAAAUGACUACUAUAUGCAUUUUGUGAGUCCAAAGUUGGAAAUAAGAUGAAAAGACAGAUAAUAUUUGAAGAAAUAACAGGUAAAAUCUCCCAAAUUUGAUAAAAUACAUGAAUCUAAAAACUUAAGAAGAUUCAUGAACUGUAAGCAGAAUCAACUAAUAAAAGAGAUUCACACUGAGACACAAUAUAAUCAAACUGGAAAAAGACAAAAAACGGAGAACUUUGAAAGCAGCUAGAGAGAAGCAAAGUGUGAAAAUGGGAUCCUUGAUAACAUUAAAAGCCCAUUCAACACCAUAAAUCCAGGCCUUAGAAUGGCAUAUUCAAAGCACUAAAAGAAACCACAUUAACCAUGAAUUUUAUUGCAGCAACAAUUCUCAAUGAAAAAUAAAGGUGAAACUAAGUCAUUUCCAGAUAAACAAAUUGAUUAUUUUGCUAUCUGCCCUACAGCAAUAAAAUAAAAAGGCACAGGGCAGAAAAUUGAUACUACGUGAAGAAAUAAAAACACUGGCAAAGGCAAAUAUACAGCUAAAUACAAAAGCCAUUAUUAUUAAAAUUUUGGUUGUGUAACUCCUUUUUCUAUACAAUUUUAAAGAAAAAUGCAUAAAACAAUAGUUUUCAAUCUAUGUCAAGGGACACACAACUUACAAAGAUAUAAUCUGUGACAAUACAAUAUAAAGGUGGUGAGAUGUGCCUGCAGCUUCCUAAUCUAGAGUUUUUGUAUACUAUUAAAUUUAAAUUGGUAUUAAUCCAAUAGGUUUUGAUAAAGUUAAAGGUUAAAAUGAUCAUUUUAAUCCCCAGGGUAACAGUUAAGAAAACAAUUUUAAAAAUACAGAAUAGUAAAUAAAAGGGAAUUCAAAAUGACAUUACAGACAACCAGUUAAACAAAAUAGAAGAGAGUUGUGGUAGAAUUGAGGAACAAAGGAGAUAUGACACAUAGAAACAAGUAGCAAAAUGGCAGAAGUAACUCUUUCCUUAUUUAAAUUAUGUUAAAUGUAAAUAGAUUAAACUCACCAAUUUGAAGACAGAUUGGCGGAGUACGAUCAGUAAAAUAGAAGAUUAGGAAGCUACAGGCCCAGCUUUUCUCAGAGAGGCACCCAGAUAACAAUACUAUAUGGACCAGAACAUCUUUGUGAGAACCCUAAAGACAUGCUGACAAAAAAACAGCCCCCAGGCCAACAUAAAACCCAGAUGGGAUACUAGCAAGUAGUUAGAAAAUUUGAAGCAUUUUCAUACCUGUCUAUGUCCCUUCUCCUAGGAAAACCACAAUUGUUUUGCAGUGAGUAGGUAUAUGCGAAUCUAUGCCUAAAGGCCAAUGGAGCUGAGAGGCCAAAUAAAGAGGCUGACAGGGUAAGUCAUGGUGGCUUAUACCUGUAAUCCCAGCACUUUGGGAGGCAGAGGUUGGAGGAUCACUUGACAUCAAAAGUUCAAGCCCAGCCUGGCCCACAUGGUGAAACCCCAUCUCUGCUAAAAAAUACCAAAAUUAGCUAGGCAUGGUGGUACACGCCUAUAAUCUCAGCUACUCAGGAGGCUGAGGCAGGAGAAUCAUUUGAAUUUGGGAGAUGGAAUUUGCAGUGAGCUGAGAUCACACCACUGUGGUUUUCCUAGGGGAAGGGACAUAGUUUCCCACUGUACUCCAGCCUGGGCAACAGAGAGAAACUAUCUCAAAAUAAAAAAAAAAAAAAAAAAAAAAAAGAAAGUAAGAGGCUGACAAAUCGUUUCUCAGAAAAAAAAACUACCUAACAGAGACAAACAGAAGUGAUAUAUCGGCAGCUGCAAGAUGGUGAGUCCCUGCACCGACUCCCAGAAAGUGUUCUUUAUAAAAGGAAGCAUUUUGGGUGAAGAUGUGCAUUUGGGUGAAGAUGUGCAUCUGGUCAUGCCUAAGACUUUCUUGGAAAACCUGUGGCCAUUGGGGAAUUUAUAUAAGCAUCUUUAUGAUGGCUUAGCAAUGCUACAGGGAUUGUUUAAAGACCUUGCUGCAGGUGUAAAGUAUUGAUCAUGAUGUCAGUUUUGCUUCAAAAUGACAUUACUCUUGCCAUAUAACAAGCUGUUCUCCUGUAAUAGCAUAUCCAGGAGGAAACCUCCCUAAACUAAGAAUUGUUAUUUGGCAGAGGAAAUGGCAUUUUGCAUUCAGUGUUUUGAUUUGUCUGAGAUUUUCUGUGAUACUAGUUUCACCUAAACACUAUCAGGACUGGCAGCAUAACUUGAAAGCUGAUGAAAAACGUGGAGACUACAGCCAUUUAGAGACACAGUUCUGCAUGCAAAACCUAGAGGAAUCAACAUCUCAGGAAAAAUCUGAGAUGUUCCAAAGCCUCUGGGCUGAUUGGUCAAGGUCUUCCUUUGAUCUAAGCCAGUAUGUUAAGACUAGAACAGAUGUGUCCCUUUUUUUCCUUCAACAGUUCAAAUUGCAGCAAAAGUUUACAUACCAUUGAAAGAAACAGAUAAUUGUGGCCAAAUUAUAGAAAUUAAAAUGAAAUUCAAGUGACCAAACCUAAAGAAAUGAAGAUCUAUAAGCAGUCACACAAAAACUUAAAAUAACUGCCAUGAAAAUUCCUGAAAACUAAACAAAAUCAGGAAAUAAAAUAUGAACAAAAAGAUAAAUUCAACAAAGUAGAAAUCAUUUAAAAAGCUACAACAUCUAGGCUGGGCAUGGUGGCUCACGCCUGUAAUCCCAGCACUUUGGUAGGCUGAGGUGUGUGGAUCACCUGAGGUAAGGAGUUUGAGACCAGCCUGACCAACAUGGUGAAACCCUGUCUCUACUAAAAAUAUGAAAAUUAGCCAGUCGUGGUAGCACAUGCCUGUAAUCCCAGCUACUUGGGAGGCUGAGGCAAAAGAUUGCUUGAACCCAGGGGGCGGAGUUUGCAGUGAGCCGAGAUCCUGCCAUUGCACUCCAGACUGGGCAACAAGAGUGAAACUCCAUCUCAGAAACAAAACAAAACCAAACAAAAACAAACCUAUAACAUCUAGACAGAACUUUUUUUAAACAGAAAAAUUCUGUAUAUGGAUUAAAUAGCAUUUGAAAUAAUCAAGUCAGAGAUUCAAAAAGUAAAAAGAGUAAAGAAAAAUAAAGAGGCCAAGGAAUUUAUCACAUAUUAUCAA